UACGAGGGGGGCGAGCGUUGUUCGGAAUUACUGGGCGUAAAGCGCGCGUAGGCGGUUUGAAAAGUCAGAUGUGAAAGCCCCGGGCUCAACUUGGGAACUGCAUUUGAUACUGUCAGACUAGAGUACAGAAGAGGUGACUGGAAUUCCCAGUGUAGCGGUGAAAUGCGUAGAUAUUGGGAGGAACACCAGAUGCGAAGGCGGGUCACUGGGCUGAUACUGACGCUGAAGUGCGAAAGCCAGGGGAGCGAACGGG
rnacentral:rRNA from 1 species